CUCCAGGUGGUGGGGGGCUUUGACCGAGUACUGCUGGAUGCUCCCUGCAGUGGCACUGGGGUCAUCUCCAAGGAUCCAGCCGUGAAGACUAACAAGGAUGAGAAGGACAUCCUGCGCUGUGCUCACCUCCAGAAGGAGUUGCUCCUGAGUGCUAUUGACUCUGUCAAUGCGACCUCCAAGACAGGAGGCUACCUGGUUUACUGCACCUGUUCUAUCACGGUGAGACCUCUGCCAUGGCAGAGCAGGGGAGGCUGGGCUGGGGGGCUCUUUGCCCCUUAGAGCUCCCUUCAGCUCCAGCUCUGCUUUUUCCUCCGUUCUUUGUCUUCCCCCCACAUCCAGGUAGAAGAGAAUGAGUGGGUGGUAGACUAUGCUCUGAAAAAGAGGAAUGUGCGACUGGUGCCCACAGGCCUAGACUUUGGCCAGGAAGGUUUUACCCGCUUUCAAGAAAGGCGCUUCCACCCCAGUCUGCGUUCUACCCGACGCUUCUACCCUCAUACCCACAAUAUGGAUGGGUUCUUCAUUGCCAAGUUCAAGAAAUUUUCCAAUUCUAUCCCUCAGUCCCAGACAGGAAAUUCUGAAACAGCCACACCUACAAAUGUAGACUUGCCUCAGGUCAUCCCCAAGUCUGAGAACAGCAGCCAGCCAGCCAAGAAAGCC
rnacentral:sRNA from 1 species